CGCAUCUGUGCAUGCAGCAUAUCAAUAAGCGGAGGAAAAGAAACUAACAAGGAUUCCCCUAGUAACGGCGAGUGAAGCGGGAAGAGCUCAAAUUUGAAAUCUUAAAGGGUUUCCCUUUACGAAUUGUAGUUUAAAGAAGUGUUUUCUGUUGAGGUUUUGGUAAAAGUUCUUUGGAAUAGGACAUCAUAGAGGGUGAGAAUCCCGUAUUUGACCUUUACUUUCAACUUUGUGAUACACUUUCAAAGAGUCGGAUUGUUUGGGAAUGCAGUCCAAAAUGGGUGGUAAAUCUCAUCUAAAGCUAAAUAUUGGCGAGAGACCGAUAGCGAACAAGUACCGUGAGGGAAAGAUGAAAAGAACUUUGAAAAGAGAGUUAAACAGUACGUGAAAUUGUCAAAAGGGAAGCGUUUGACACCAGUGUUGUUUUUCUGAAAAUCAAUUAAAGAACUGUUUAUGCUAAGCUGUUUAGACUUUAUCAGCUAUCUGUUUAGUUUUGAGCUUUUCUUUAAUGCACUUUUCAGUUAACAAGUCAACAUCAAUUUCUUUUGCUGUAAAAAAGCUUGAGGAAGGUGGACUUGAGAUUCGUCUUAAGUGUUUAUAGCCUCUUGCCUAUGCAGUCGGAGAGAUUGAGGUCUGCAGCGUAGAUCCUUCGGGGCUAAAUGCAUUUGUGCUAAGUUAUAGCAUUUUAUAGACAACUUGUUGACUAUGAUUUGUCUUGUAGCUUACUCGCUUAUGUUAUUUUACCUACGCUUAGGAUGUUGAAUCUGUGCGAGACUAC
rnacentral:rRNA from 1 species